GAUCUCAAAUCAAGUAAGACUACC
rnacentral:rRNA from 1 species